GCACGAGACCAGGGUGCACCGUGGCACGCUGUGCCCCACGUUCCACGAGACCUGCUGCUUCCACGUGCGUCUGGGCUGGGGUGGGGGAGGCGCGGGGGGCCGGGGCCGGGGCGAGGGGGCCCGCUCACUCGCUCUCCUGCAGGUGCCGCAGCGCGAGCUGGCUCGGACCGCCCUGCGGGUGCAGGUGCUAAGCUUCAGGCGGUUCUCUGCCCACGAGCCGCUGGCUGAGCUCAGCCUGCCGCUGGGCACCGUGGACCCGCAGCACGUCCUAGAGCAGUGGUACCAGCUGGGCCCUCCGGGCACCACCGAGGUGAGCCCAGGGACUGCCGGACUCCGGCCUGGCCCUGCCCGGGGUGCCCCGGGGGUCGGGGGGGGGGCGGUGGAGACCGAGGCCCCCCCAUCUCGCUGCCCGCAGCCCGAGCCCUCGGGUGAGCUGUGCCUCUCGCUCCGGUACGUGCCUGGCUCGGGCCGGCUGACCGUCGUCGUGCUGGAGGCCCGAGGCCUGAGCCCGGGACUGGCAGGUGAGAGCCCUCCCUGCCCCUUCCACGUGGAGAGAGGGGGAGCCCUGUGCUUGGCCCUGGGACCCGGGAGGCCUUCUGACCCCUUCUGCCUGCCCAGACCCCUACGUGAAGGUCCAGCUCAUGCUGAACCAGAGGAAGUGGAAGAAGAGAAAGACCUCGGCCCGGAAGGGCACGGCCGCCCCCUACUUCAACGAGGCCUUCACCUUCCUCGUGCCUUUCAGCCAGGUCCAGGUGGGCUGCCUGGAGAAAGGGGUGGGCGGGGCGGGCCCGGGCGGGCCCACCCUUGGGGCCAAGCUGACCCCUGUCUUUCUCUCCCUCCCUGCCCUUCUGCCCGCCUCUGCCCAGAGCGUGGAUCUGGUGCUGGCCGUCUGGGCCCGGGGCCCGCACUUCCGGGCCGAGCCCGUGGGCAAGGUGCUGCUGGGCGCGCG
rnacentral:lncRNA from 1 species